GAUGAACGCUGGCGGCGUGCUUAACACAUGCAAGUCGAACGAAGCAGUUUAUUACGAUCCCUUCGGGGUGACGAUUUACUGACUGAGUGGCGGACGGGUGAGUAACGCGUGGGUAACCUACCUUGUACAGGGGGACAACAGUUGGAAACGACUGCUAAUACCGCAUAAGCGCACAGCUUCGCAUGAAGGAGUGUGAAAAGUAUUUUCGGUACAAGAUGGACCCGCGUCUGAUUAGCUAGUUGGUGAGGUAAUGGCUCACCAAGGCGACGAUCAGUAGCCGACCUGAGAGGGUGACCGGCCACAUUGGGACUGAGACACGGCCCAAACUCC
rnacentral:rRNA from 1 species